GUGCUCGCUUCAGCAGCACAUAUACUAAAAUUGGAACGACAGAGAGAAGAUUAGCAUAGACCCUGUGCAAGGCUGACAUGCAGAUUUGUGAAGCAUACCACAUUUUU
rnacentral:snRNA from 1 species